rnacentral:lncRNA from 1 species
AAGCACUUCUGCACAACUAGCCGUUAUGCUUCUGCCCGUGCUUGGGUCGACCCAAACUUUUCUUGGGUCGACCCAAACCUUGGGUCAGCUCAAACUUUUUCUUGGGUCGACCCAACCUUCAGAAACACAGAAACUUGGAAUUCGGCUUUCCUUCACUUGGGUCGACCCAACCUUUCCUUGGGUCGACUCAAGGUUCAGUUGGGUCGACUCAACUUCUUCUUGGGUCGACCCUAACAGGGUUUCCAGAGAACCUUUUCUGUCUUCUGUUCUGUCUUGCCUUUGGGUCGAC